AUGGAAAAUAUUUACAUUGUAUGUGAAAGGUUGUAGCUGGCCUUGAGUAUGUGCACACCUGGAUCAUCAUGUAUAAUAACCAUUUUUUUACCCUUGUGCACAACCUGUAGCUUAUCCAUUUUUUAUGGUUAAGUUAUGAAUGCAUUUUUAAUUAUACACUUGACAUAGUAACAAUCAAAUAAAUAUAAUA
rnacentral:misc_RNA from 1 species